GGCUGUUAGAGGCUGUAGGAAGAGAGCUCUAGGAUAUGAGGACAUGAGUUCUAAAGGACAAUCAGAACAGUAGAAAGGGUAAACAGAGAACAGAACUUCCAGACAAAGGAAAUAGUAUGCUCGAAGGCCCAGGGGUGGGAGCAAAGCUGAAGGUCUGGAAACACAUGUACUUGCAGAAAAUAGCUGGAUCCUUGUAUCUGCUUUUGCAUUCCAUCUGCGGUUGUAUUAUAUGCCACGUAGUCUCUGGAAACCUACGAGAGAAGAGGAUGAAAGGCAAAUGACGUCUUAGUAUGACUGUGAAAAGAGUGUUGCCCUCAUAGACCCCAUUGAAGCUUCUCAGGGAUCCCAUGGAUUCCCGGACCACCCUUUGAGAAACUUCUGGGGUAAAAGAUAAAUUGGAUAAAUGUGCCCACGUUUCCAUCAUCUGGACGUAUUUUUUUAAUUAUUAAAACAUUUUAAAACAUGUUUAAUCAUUCAGAAUACUACACGGCAAACAUUGUAACAAAUAUCUACAGUUUGUCUUAUUUCUUUCACAUUAAAAAUAAUAGUUCCUUACUCAAAAACCACUCCAUUUUGUUUCUCCUCAAAGGCAAAACUGUGAGAACUUCUUUUCAAAUUUCAAAUUUUCUUAGAUUCCUACAGGAUCAUAGUUGGAAAUUAAAUAUUUUUAAGAAAUAUAUGGCAAAUUGGUGACACGAAUUAUGUAACACUUUUAAAAAUGGAUGUUAGCAAUCGUUAUAGCAUCUCUAUAGCACUGACAAACUGCAUAUGGAAAGAUAUUAAUUUGGUGCUUAGGCCAUGCACCAAGAACAGAUAUAUUGUGGCAAAGCCUACAUUGAUUCCAUCAUUCACUAGGGUUCAGUGUUCUCUCUGUUAGAAACCACUGAAGUAAAUGAUCCUUAAGAUACACAGUAG
rnacentral:lncRNA from 1 species